CCUACGGGAGGCUGCCGUGGGGAAUAUUGGACAAUGGGCGAAAGCCUGAUCCAGCCAUGCCGCGUGUGUGAAGAAGGCCUUCGGGUUGUAAAGCACUUUCAGUGGGGAAGAAAGCCUUGGGGCUAAUACCCUCGAGGAAGGACAUCACCCACAGAAGAAGCACCGGCUAACUCCGUGCCAGCAGCCGCGGUAAUACGGAGGGUGCGAGCGUUAAUCGGAAUUACUGGGCGUAAAGCGCGCGUAGGCGGUCUGAUAAGCCGGUUGUGAAAGCCCCGGGCUCAACCUGGGAACGGCAUCCGGAACUGUCAGGCUAGAGUGCAGGAGAGGAAGGUAGAAUUCCCGGUGUAGCGGUGAAAUGCGUAGAGAUCGGGAGGAAUACCAGUGGCGAAGGCGGCCUUCUGGACUGACACUGACGCUGAGGUGCGAAAGCGUGGGUAGCAAACAGGAUUAGAUACCCUGGUAGUC
rnacentral:rRNA from 1 species